GAGGAAUAGGUUCAUAGAAGAAGUGCGAAGCCACGGCUUGUUCCGUUCUGAUGAGCAAACAUAAAUUGAACCUAGUGGCUUAAAGCUGAGCAGUCUGAAUGACGCGGCCUGUAUGUGGGAGCGCAGUCCUGGCGUUGGUACCCUACUGGCACUGCGCUGCAUUAACAGACCUCUUGUUAGAAUGAGUUUGCCAACGCCGUUGCUCAGACACUGCCAUGAAGAAGACAAAGCCUGAAAGAUUAUAUGGUAUUAACAUCUGCGAAAGGUGAUGAGAACAGCAUCUACACAAGUAAAUUAACACACACACACUUUCCGAACCGCUUGUCCCAUACGGGGUCGCGGGGAACCGGAGCCUACCCGGCAACACGGGGCGCAAGGCCGGAGGGGGAGGGGACACACCCGGGACGGGACGCCAGUCCGUCGCAAGGCACCCCAAGCGGGACUCAAACCCCAGACCCACCGGAGAGCAGGACCCGGUCCAACCCACUGCGCCACCGCACCCCGUUCAAGUAAAUUAACAUACUGUGCAAAUGCUGCUGCUGUUGUCACUGUUUUCCACGUGCAGUAUGGACCGCAGUUCUAUCUAUGUUUUUCUGGCAAGUGUUCAGCUGACAGAAUUACCCUUAUUUUUACCCCAAUGUUCCUCAGGAAAGAAGAAGCCGACUCUCUUGAAAAUCAGGACACCGAAAUUAUCAUGCCUGUUCAAGUUUCAGCUGUCUCAUCUGCAAACUUUGACAUUUUGGAGGACGUGCCAGGCAUUGACGCUGAACUUUCCAGCGUGAAUGACAGUGAUAACACAACUGCAUUGAUAACCGGAUCUGACGGAGGCACGGCCAGUGUGAAUAUAUGUGCUAAAGAGCUCGACGAUCCCGAAGGAGGUGUGGCCGAUGAAGAUGUAUGUGCCAAAGAGUUGAGACAACCUGGGGAAGAAAAUGUCAAUGCAGAUAUAGGUGCUGAAGACAAGAGGGAUUCUGAUGAAGGUGUGGACAAUAUCGAUAUAUGCUCUAAAGAGCUGAGACAUCCAGACGAAAGUACAGAUGAGGACAAGACAAGAAUGGAUGUGGCAGGCACUGAAGAUGGGUCACUCCCCAAUGUCCAGACUCAGGCCAAGGAGGAGGCAUCUACUACAACCACGGAACCGGAGGGAUUACCACUGGAGGAAGUCGCAGAGGAACAAUCAUCCACAGUAGAGGCAGAAGGAGAACCACAAGAGAAGGUGUCAGAAACUGCUGAUCACAGCAACCAGGAACUAUCGGAGGGAGAAGCGAAGGAUGUAAUUAAUCCUGAGAGUGAGAACAACCAAGAGGUAAAGUGACUGUCUUAAAGUAUACAAUUGUUUUCAUCUACUUUUCGUUAUCAUUAUUAAUAUCCAUUGUGAGUAAUCACUCGUCCAAUGCAGGGUCAGAGUGGCUCGGAGCCUGUUCCAGAUGCAUAGAGUGUGAGGAAGGGUAUCCCUUGGACAGCAUGCCAGUCCAUCAUACGCCAGUUAUGUACACACACAGGUUUAUAGUUAAGCUCACCUGAAAUGCUUCUCUGUUCUGUGGGAGGAAACCAAAGCACAUGAAGGAAACCCACGCAAGCGUUGGAACACGACAACUCCACACAGACUGAGCUGUGAGGCAUCAGCAGCACUUGCUAUGCCGCCCAUUUAUUAAUAAAAAUUAUUUAAUUAAUUAAAGGGUUUUUUUU
rnacentral:lncRNA from 1 species